UACGUAGGUGGCAAGCGUUGUCCGGAUUUAUUGGGCUUAAAGGGUGCGUAGGCGGUUCUGUAAGUCAGUGGUGAAAUAUCCCGGCUUAACCGGGAGGGUGGCAUUGAUACUGCGGGGCUAGAGUACAGAUGAGGUAGGCGGAAUUGACGGUGUAGCGGUGAAAUGCUUAGAUAUCGUCAAGAGCACCUAUAGCGAAGGCAGCUUACUAGGCUGUAACUGACGCUGAGGCACGAAAGUGUGGGGAGCAAACAGG
rnacentral:rRNA from 1 species